GACGAACGCUGGCGGCGUGCCUAAUACAUGCAAGUAGAACGCUGAAGGAGGAGCUUGCUCUUCUGGAUGAGUUGCGAACGGGUGAGUAACGCGUAGGUAACCUGCCUGGUAGCGGGGGAUAACUAUUGGAAACGAUAGCUAAUACCGCAUAAUAGUAGAUGUUGCAUGAUAUUUACUUAAAAGGUGCAAUUGCACCACUACCAGAUGGACCUGCGUUGUAUUAGCUAGUUGGUGGGGUAACGGCUCACCAAGGCGACGAUACAUAGCCGACCUGAGAGGGUGAUCGGCCACACUGGGACUGAGACACGGCCCAGACUCCUACGGGAGGCAGCAGUAGGGAAUCUUCGGCAAUGGACGAAAGUCUGACCGAGCAACGCCGCGUGAGUGAAGAAGGUUUUCGGAUCGUAAAGCUCUGUUGUAAGAGAAGAACGAGUGUGAGAGUGGAAAGUUCACACUGUGACGGUAUCUUUCCAGAAAGGGACGGCUAACUACGUG
rnacentral:rRNA from 1 species